UAUUCCAGGAUAUGCAAAAGAA
rnacentral:siRNA from 1 species